rnacentral:lncRNA from 1 species
CAAGUGGUAGGAUUACAGGUGUGAGCCACUAUGCCUGGCCUGGGUUACAUCAUUUAAUACUCACAACUACCCAAUUAGGUGGGACUCUGCAUAUCCCCAGUUAAUAAAAGGGAAAAUGAAGGAGGUCAGGGUCGCUAAGUGAUUUGCCCAACAUCACUCGCUAGCUCAGGGAGCUGAGAUUUGAGCCCAGAUACUUGGUGUUUGCUUCCAGAGCUGGCUCUCUUAAUGAUCACAUUCGACUUUGUAAGCCCUGUCCGCCCCCUGGAGUCCCCCUUAGCUCUCCCUCAAUGAUACUGAAAAGAUACAAAAGCUUAUCUGUGCUGUUGGAAGCAGCAGGAUGGUGAAAGCCAAUUCCCCAGUGAUGAAUUCAUUGCUGGCUUAUGCCAGAUUACAUUUUUCACCAAUUGUCACAUGUCCCACAAGGGACAAAGGCCGCACCACUCCCAGCACAGUUAAUGGCAUUUCCUAAAAGCAGCACUCUGACUGGUUCAAUUUUCCCUGCUCUAAGGAGCCUUCUUGGAUUAUCUCCUUAUGACCUGUGGUUGCUCGUUUGGGUCAGAGUCGCUGUCUGAGGUCACAGAAAACGGAAAAAGGGCCAGCCCUUGCUUGGAGGAAUCUACCUUGCUGCAAUAUACAAGCCAUAAGCCAUAACGAUGUCCUCUCUGGCACUUUGCACCAUAUGGAACAUGCCAGCAGACAAUGAGAGGACUGAAGAGCUGAGCAUCGGCAAUGAAACGCUUAGCCUGGGAGCACAGCACACGCUGCAUAACGACCUUUCUGUCAAUGAUGGGUUGCGUCUGUGAAGCCCAGAGUGGAGGACGAAAUUAACAAUGAGGAAUUCACACUCAGCAAAAAGCAAAAUAUGAAAGCCUGAUUGCGGAUUUCCUAAUGGACAAGAUUAUUUUCCUCUACAGAGAGCCUUAGGUUGCCAGAGGAACCAUCUGCAGGGCCCCAAAGCAUUUAGGAUCAGACUAUUCUGUCGACGUUAGCCUAGCCCACUGAUCUGGAGCAGGAUGUGACAUUCUCCGCUGGUGGUUUUGGCUUCAAUCCACCGAAGCCACAUGUCGAGGACUAAAAGAGGGAUCGGGCCCAUGUGUGGCUGAUUGGGCCCUAUCUUCUGGAGAGAGCUGGUACUCAUUAAGAACAGCCAAGAUUCUCAUCUUCCUGUCCCAAAAUCAGAGACCUUUCUUAGCUCUUUCAGGUCACCUGAGAUACUGGUUUGCCUCCCAAACCCUGCUGCCUCAGGAAUGCUGUGCUGCAGGGCUGUGUCUGUCAGUUUCCACCUGCAGGCUCCCUCACUCCUUCCUGCACUAAGCUAAUCAUUGCAUGUGUUACAAGGGUGGAAAUGGCACAUCUGGGCUGAAACCAGGACAGCAACAUGAACAAAAUGAAAAGUCCAAAGGGACAAGCUCACCUAAAAAUUACUUGUCCCCGUACUUCCCCCACCCUUCUCCUUUCUCCCUUAGACCCAAGUUGCAGAAGAAGAGCUUCAAUGUGAUAGAAAUACCUGGCUUUGCCCCUUGCCUUCCAGGGAUGUUUAGAGAAAACCGCUGAGACCCUUGGAUGUUGUGUUGUCUGCUGGGAUUCUCCCAAGGGCUGCAUCCAUAGUGUGGAAAUGGAUAGGGUGCUACAAGGCUAUUUCCACAAAGCACGUGUGGUAUUUGCAUGUGAUUUCCCUAUGCACACUGUGCAACCCCUCCCCAGACCAUUUUUCAAGUUAAAAACAUUUUUAUGGCUCUCUUGGUGCAGUCACUUCUGGAUUUUUCCUCCUAUCUGAGCUGCCUUCUCCCUCGGGCACUCUCCCUGGCCCAGAUCUUUGGCGAGGGAGCCAAGUGGAGCCAGGGAAGAACCAUAGAGGAAUGCAGGACUCAGCCCCUCUAGAGUCGGCUGCUCCGAGGGUCUAGCUGCUUAUCUCGCCUUUGCCCAGGGCACUGGCUGAGAUUCUAUUUCCAAAAUUGUUCACACUAGGUGAUUACACUGUAGACUGUGGGACUGUAGCUCAAUUCACAAAAAGUCUCUUUGAUCUAGAAGUUUCUAAACUGCCUUCUAUCCGUUUCUCUUCUGUCUCUGGUCAACAUUCUUUUAAAAAUGAGUCUUGGCUGGGUGUGGUGG